rfam:Anaerostipes sp. 992a contig000001, whole genome shotgun sequence.
GACAAAUAGCAAGCGCCAGAUCCUGCUCGUUCGUGAUAAUAAGGGUAGGAUGACGAGGAGAAAAGUUAUCGAAGAUUCGGCGGAUGCUUUUCCGUGUCGCUUUGGACACGUAUUUCCUGGCAAACCCUGGAAGUAAUUUCGGAAACAGAUUCAGGAUUACCAAAGCAU